rnacentral:rRNA from 1 species
CGUAGGUGACAAGCGUUGUCCGGAAUUAUUGGGCGUAAAGGAGCGCAGGCGGUUGGAAGUAGUCUGAUGUGAAAGACCCACCGGCUUAACCGUGGAAGGUCAUUGGAAACUGUCCAACUUGAAUGCAGAAGAGGUAAGUAGGAAUUCCAAGUGUAGCGGUGAAAUGCGUAGAUAUUUGGAGGAACACCAGUGGCGAAGGCGACUUACUGGUCUGUGAUUGACGCUGAGGCUCGAAAGCGUGGGGUAGCAAACAGGAUU